rnacentral:hammerhead_ribozyme from 1 species
GUACUGCUGAGGAGUCCCAAACUAGGACGGAGGAAACACCUGUCCAGUAC